UGAGGUGAUCAGCUGCAGCUGGGAUGUGAUGAGGACGCCGACCAGUGUAACCAUGACAAGACUCAACCACAGAGAGACCAACAAACUUUGGAGAACCAGUACGUAACUUUUGACUUAACUCAACCAAACAAAAAAGAAACUUGAACUCACGGGCGAAGCUUGGGCUGGCCACUCACCAUCCAGAGUACUCUGGCAGACCAGUGUGCAGGUACAGAGCCGGAGCUGAGGGGGACCAUAUGGACCUCAUGGCAAACAUGUUAAAUUGUGUCCACCUGUCAGUCAACUUAUCCACGCCUCUAACAAUCUGAAUUAAUGCAGAACUCUGUGUCAAUGUAAUCAAAGGAGAUGAGAUAUGAGAAAUCACCUCAUGUACAGUUGAACACAGAAAAGAGACAUCAAGACUAAAAAUGUUAUUUUGA